GUGGAGGCAUGGGACACGCUGAGUAGCAGCUUCCGGCAGGUGCAGUCCGUGCUAGAUCGUAAUCGGGAGCUGAUUCAGCAUGUAAACGAUAACCGCCAGUCCAAGACCGCUGACAAUCUUGCCAAGACACGCGAGAUCAACGAACGAGAAGGAUGGAAAAGACGAGCGCCGAGACCUGAGUCAACUGAUCCAUCGAUGGAUUUGAGUAAAUUUUGAUCAACCUAUUUUAUUUUUUUUUCUAAUUAGGUUAAUUUCAAUUGCGUUGGAGUCAGACUGUUGCAGUCUUAGUGGAUUUAUCUGUGGUGUUUGGUCUACUAAGUCUUCAUGUGUUAUGUGUCUGUCUGUUUGAUUGACGUUCAAAAUAGUUGUUGUUUUCGUGGUGAUUAUUGUGAUUCGGAUGAUAAUGAUAAUGGUUGCUUAUGUGGUGAUCAUUGUUAUGUUGUUUUCUUUAUGUUUGUAAGUAUGAUUGAUACCUGCGAGACUUGCUUAUGCUCUUAUCUGCUCCGCUAAAGUGGUAAGGUAUUUUUGUUCA